rnacentral:rRNA from 1 species
CAAACGACUCUCGGCAAUGGAUAUCUCGGCUCUCGCAUCGAUGAAGAACUUAGCGAAAUGCGAUACUUGGUGUGAAUUGCAGAAUCCCGUGAACCAUCGAGUCUUUGAACGCAAGUUGCGCCCGAAGCCAUCAGGCCGAGGGCACAUCUGCCUGGGUGUCACGCAUCGC